UACGCUCACUUUUAAAUCGCUCACAAUUUUGCACCCUCUGAGACGCGCUGCUCGUGUUUUUCCCCACUUGAAAUUGUUUAAAGUAUAUAUUAAAAAACACAGUCGUCGGUGACUUUUCGCGGGUAAAGUAGUGAAGCAACAUAUGUAGCUUGUUUUCGCUUUCAAAACUGCUACGGUUAUGCCAUGAUGCCAAAUGAGUUAUAUCCGGCUGAUAUUAGUUUAUUUAUCAUCAAAAACGCAACUCAUAAACAAUAAUAUAACAGCAACAUAUGGAUAAAACCAGUGCAAAGUGACUAAAAGAGCAGUUUAAGCGUUGUAUGAGCAGCGAAAAAGGAUAUUCGGGCCCAGCAUCCUUCGGCCUGCUUCUUCUUCUUCCUCUCCGUUGGCAUUCCUUUUCGCCGCGAGUGUGCAUUGGUGUGCGUGUGUGUGGGCUGGAAAAUUGCGUUAAAUAAGUGUAUAUUCCAGCUGUCAACAAGCAAUUGAUGCAAAAUAUAUAUUAAAUAUCGCUUUAUUGUGAGCGUGAGUGUUGAAUUAGCACUCCCGAAUCGCCAUCUCUGUCGCUCCGCGACUUUGUUUUUUACUGUUACCUGAAAAGAUGGGUGUGUGUGAGUGUGCGUGUGUGCUGCUUGCGGAAAUUAAUUAAAAACGCACCCAAGUUGCCCCCACUCUCGCUCUCCCGCUCUCCUGGAAGGACUCAAAAUGGGAGGCAAAUGAGGAGGCAGCCGGGAAAACAGGAAGAAGCCACUCGGAUCUGGAGUUAGAUGGCCAAGGCACGCAGAAAACGCUUCCGUCUGAGGUGUCCGGAAACAGAGUUAGUGCCAAUCACAAGCCGCUAGGAUGGACAAGCGAUCGGUGUGCCUGCUGCUCAUUUGCAUCAACGUGUGCCUGGUCAUCUGGCUGGUCAGUGUGCAGCAGUCGCCGAUGCUGGAGCCGGAGAUCGUGGCGGAUUUCAGCGGAACCGGAGCCGGAAGCAGUGCACUCGGCCCCAGCAGCACGCCACAGCCCCAGCAGCCGAGUGCCAACAGUGGGCCGCAGAGGCGGAGCCGGCGCAAACCAAACCAAAUACAGCUGCCUAGUCCUAGUAGUAGUACCACCAACUAUAGUAGCCAAGUAGUAGUUAGCAACACAUUCGAUGGCCACCGCCUGCUGGCCACGCCCUCCGCGCUGGCCUCCCAUCAAACGCCCUCGCCCCCCGGGAGCAGCAUGCACCUGAUGGAUCUGCCCAAUUUCGUGUAUCUCAUGGAUCAGCCCGCCUGUGAUAAGGAUGUACGGGUGCUGAUAUUCGUGCACUCGGCGGUGAGGAACGUGGAGAAGCGGAGGAUCAUCCGGGAGACCUGGGCGGACCGCAAGUACAUAGAGCAGACGCCGCUGCGGGUCAUCUUCCUGGUGGGCGGAGUGGGCGAGAACGGCGAGCGGUGGCAGCAGUUCCUGGGACGCGAGAACCACCUACACGGCGACCUCGUGCAGGGCAACUUCGAGGACGCCUACCGCAACAUGACCUACAAGCACGUGAUGGCCCUCAAGUGGUUCAGCGAGAAGUGUGCGCAUGCGCAGCUGCUAGUGAAGGUGGACGACGACGUCUUCAUGAACACCCCCCAGCUGGUCAAGUACUUGGCCACGCCCUCGCUGCCGGAGCACGCGCUGCUCCAGGAUCCCGAGCUGAUGCUCUGCCGGUCCGUCCAUCACUCGCGGGUCAAGCGAUCGUACCGGUCCAAAUGGCGGGUGACCUACAAGGAGUACCCCCACCGCUACUACCCGGAGUACUGUCCCGGCAUGGCCAUUGUCUACGCACCGGACGUGGUGCGGCGGCUGUUCGAGGCGGCGCAGAAGGCCCAGUACUUCUGGGUGGACGACGUGCUCAUCACGGGCAUCCUGGCCGAGGAGACGGGCAGCCGGAUCACCCCGCUGAAGUACUACCUCGAGCAGAAGGACGUGCGCCGGCUGCUCAGCGGCGAGGCCGAUCUCGAGGAUCCCCCGUUCCUCUUCACCAACCACGCCAUCCGGCCGGACGAGAGCAUGGCCAUUUGGCAGAUGGCGCUGGACAGAAUCCAGCGGCCCCUGCUCACCCAUCCCGCGUCCUCAUCCGCAUCCGCGCCCGCAUCCCCCGCUUCCAAGUCCCCGCCAGCGCCAGUGCCAAGUGCGAACCUUUCCGAGGCCCAGACGAGCUCCGCCACGGGCUUCAGCUAGCUUCACUGGCUCCCCCACGAUGGAUUAGACUACGUUUAGUUUCUUUGGCUGUUCAGUUUUAAGUUCUAGCGUUUAGUUUUAAUUUGUAGUUAUCCCUAGUGUCAACUGAUUAUCGGAUAGGUAGCAUUUUUUGUCGCGACGAGAACGAACCGAACGGAACAUUGCAAGUCAAGUGAACCACCAACCACCUGCCCACAAUCAUUCGUAUCAUAUGAACCGAGACCGAAAGCCGUAACUAAUCUAAGGACUCUACUGAUAGUCACAUCCAAUGCGAAUCGCUCACCAAAAUCGGAAAGUCAGAUAAGCAGACAGCCGGAACACCAAACUCAAUAAAACGAUCGCAAUACCUUAAGCAGAACUCGUAACUCGUAAGAAAACUACAAUAGUACUUAACACGAUGGGUGAAGAACAGAAGGGAAAGCUAAAAACAAAGCCGACAAGCUGAGGAUUCAAGUGUUUAGUGAAAUCAGGACAAACGAAAUGCAGAUCGACCCACGCGCUUGCAUAACACUUACCUAUUUUUUGUAAAACCAUGUAUUUCGUAGCCAUCCAAACUCUAUCGUUUCGGUCCCAGUAUUCCAGCAAGGCCAAGGGUGGAGAAUCUGAAUCUGCGUGUGCAUACAUUUAUACGGAUACACAAACCUAAUGAAGUAAAUGAGUAACAUAAGUGGGAACAGAAAUGCCAGGAACGUUAACUGAAAUAUCAAAAACGAUGAAAAACAAAGAAUUAAGUAAUAGCAAAUUGUACGGUCCGAGAAAGCUGAAAACGAUGAACGAACGAAAUGGUAACAAAUGAAAUUUAUAAAUGUGUAAUGAAAUUAAUUAAAUGUUCAAGUUUGUCAGAAAUUAUAUGAAAAUCAUUUCAAAAUACAAAUUACAAGCGAC